UCGAUGGAGCUGAACGCGGCACUUCAUGCUCCGGCCAUGUCAAUCGUCUCAUAUGGUAUUAGAAAAGAACCUUCCUGGCGUCAUUCAACAAGAGGGUUCCCGGUCGUACUUACCCCGCUAAUUGGCAGUUCCGGCACCUUUA
rnacentral:tRNA from 15 species